GAGGAGGUAGCCAACACAGUUUAUAUAUAUAUAUAUAUAUAUAUAUAUAUGUGUGUGUAUAUUUUAUAACUGGGGUAGCCCCCAAAAUAAUGGGACAUAUAAAAAAAACUACUCGGUACUGAAGAGUAGCUGUUGACAUUUUAGUUGCGCAGGCACUUUGUUGACUCUAGAGAACCUCGGGCUAAUCGCACAUCCCUGUGACGGCGACUUUGCAUUCGGAUGUCAUCCAUGUCAACAUUCGAUGCCAGUUUCUGUGCCUACCAUGGUGACCACGGGUAAUGGGGAAUCAGGGUUCCAUUCCGUACAGGGACCCUGAGAAACGGCUACCACAUUCAAUUAAGGCAGCAGGCGCGCAAAUGACCCACUCCCGAAGCGGGAAGGUAGUGAC